rnacentral:misc_RNA from 1 species
GAACGCACAUUGCGCCCUUUGGUAUUCCGAAGGGCAUGCCUGUUCGAGCGUCAUUAUCACCCCUCAAGCCCCCUGGCUUGGUGUUGGACGGUUGGCGAUGACCUCCGGGUCGUCGCCCCUCCCAAAGACAAUGACGGCGGCCUCGUUGGACCCCCGGUACACUGAGUUCUUCACGGGACACGUACUGGAUCAAGGGUGCGCGGAGCACGGUCUUAACCAUUUCACCCCUCGUGGGCGGAAUAAUUUUUCUAGGUUGACCUCGGAUCAGGUAGGGAUACCCGCUGAACUUAAG